UACAGAGGUGGCAAGCGUUGUUCGGAAUUACUGGGCGUAAAGGGCGCGUAGGUGGCCUGUUAAGUCGAACGUGAAAUCCCCGGGCUCAACCCGGGAACUGCGUCCGAGACUGGCAGGCUCGAAUCCGGGAGAGGGAUGUGGAAUUCCAGGUGUAGCGGUGAAAUGCGUAGAUAUCUGGAGGAACACCGGUGGCGAAGGCGGCAUCCUGGACCGGUAUUGACGCUGAGGCGCGAAAGCCAGGGGAGCAAACGGG
rnacentral:rRNA from 1 species